GAUGAACGCUGGCGGCGUGCCUAAUACAUGCAAGUCGAGCGAACAGACGAGGAGCUUGCUCCUCUGACGUUAGCGGCGGACGGGUGAGUAACACGUGGAUAACCUACCUAUAAGACUGGGAUAACUUCGGGAAACCGGAGCUAAUACCGGAUAAUAUAUUGAACCGCAUGGUUCAUUAGUGAAAGACGGUUUUGCUGUCACUUAUAGAUGGAUCCGCGCCGCAUUAGCUAGUUGGUAAGGUAACGGCUUACCAAGGCGACGAUGCGUAGCCGACCUGAGAGGGUGAUCGGCCACACUGGAACUGAGACACGGUCCAGACUCCUACGGGAGGCAGCAGUAGGGAAUCUUCCGCAAUGGGCGAAAGCCUGACGGAGCAACGCCGCGUGAGUGAUGAAGGUCUUCGGAUCGUAAAACUCUGUAAUUAGGGAGGAACAAAUGUGUAAGUAACUAUGCACGUCUUGACGGUACCUAAUCAGAAAGCCACGGCUAACUACGUG
rnacentral:rRNA from 1 species